rnacentral:rRNA from 1 species
CACGUAGUUAGCCGGCGCUUCUUCUGCAGGUACCGUCACUCAAGAGCUUCUUCCCUGCUGAAAGAGGUUUACAACCCGAAGGCCUUCAUCCCUCACGCGGCGUCGCUGCAUCAGGCUUGCGCCCAUUGUGCAAUAUUCCCCACUGCUGCCUCCCGUAGGAGUCUGGGCCGUGUCUCAGUCCCAGUGUGGCCGGUCGCCCUCUCAGGCCGGCUACCCGUCGUCGCCUUGGUGAGCCGUUACCUCACCAACAAGCUGAUAGGCCGCGGGCCCAUCCCGCACCGCCGGAGCUUUCCACCCAAGACCAUGCGACCUUGAGUCAUAUCCGGUAUUAGACCCCGUUUCCAGGGCUUAUCCCAGUGUGCGGGGCAGGUUGCCCACGUGUUACUCACCCGUUCGCCACUAACUCCCCUCCCGGAAGGAGGUUCAUCGUUCGACUUGCAUGUGUUAAGCACGCCGCCAGCGUCGUCCUGAGCCAGGAUCAAACUAC